CCUACGGGAGGCUGCAGUGAGGAAUAUUGGUCAAUGGUCGGGAGACUGAACCAGCCAAGUCGCGUGAAGGAUGACUGCCCUAAGGGUCGUAAACCUCUUUUAUCAGGGAAUAAAGUGUUGGACGCGUCCCCUUUUGUAUGUACCUUAUGAAUAAGGAUCGGCUAACUCCGUGCCAGCAGCCGCGGUAAUACGGAGGAUUCGAGCGUUAUCCGGAUUUAUUGGGUUUAAAGGGUGCGCAGGGGGUUUGUUAAGUCAGUUGUUAAAGCUCGGGGCUCAACCCGAACACUGCGGUUGAUACUGGCAGUCUUGAGUACAGUAGAAGUAGGCGGAAUGCGGGGUGUAGCGGUGAAAUGCUUAGAUAUCGCGAAGAACUCCGAUUGCGAAGGCAGCAUGCUGGAUUCACACUGACGCUGAUGCACGAAAGCGUGGGUAUCGAACAGGAUUAGAUACCCUUGUAGUC
rnacentral:rRNA from 1 species